rnacentral:rRNA from 1 species
AGAGUUUGAUCCUGGCUCAGGAUGAACGCUGGCGGCAUGCCUAAUACAUGCAAGUCGAACGAGGGUCCUUCGGGACUCGAGUGGCGAACGGGUGAGUAACACGUAGGGAACCUGCCCGUGCGACCGGGAGAACUUUCGGAAACGGAAGCUGAUACCGGAUAGGGACAGAGACGGCAUCGACUCUGUGUUAAAGGAGCUGAAAGGCUCCGCGCACGGAUGGACCUGCGGUGCAUUAGCUGGUUGGUGAGGUAACGGCCCACCAAGGCGACGAUGCAUAGCCGGCCUGAGAGGGCGGACGGCCACACUGGGACUGAGACACGGCCCAGACUCCUACGGGAGGCAGCAGUAGGGAAUUUUCGUCAAUGGGCGCAAGCCUGAACGAGCAAUGCCGCGUGAACGAGGAAGGUCUUCGGAUCGUAAAGUUCUGUUGAAGGGGAAAAAGAGCGGAGAGAGGAAAUGGUCUCCGAUUGAUAUUACCCUUCGAGGAAGUCACGGCUAACUACGUGCCAGCAGCCGCGGUAAUACGUAGGUGGCGAGCGUUAUCCGGAAUGAUUGGGCGUAAAGGGUGCGUAGGCGGCCUGCUAAGUCUGGAGUGAAAGGUACCGGCUCAACCGGUACUGGCUCUGGAAACUGGCGGGCUAGAGAGCAGGAGAGGGCGGUGGAACUCCAUGUGUAGCGGUAAAAUGCGUAGAUAUAUGGAAGAACACCAGUGGCGAAGGCGGCCGCCUGGCCUGUUACUGACGCUGAGGCACGAAAGCGUGGGGAGCAAAUAGGAUUAGAUACCCUAGUAGUCCACGCCGUAAACGAUGAGGACCAAGUGUUGGGGAAGACCCAGUGCUGCAGUUAACGCAGUGAGUCCUCCGCCUGGGGAGUAUGCACGCAAGUGUGAAACUCAAAGGAAUUGACGGGGGCCCGCACAAGCGGUGGAGUAUGUGGUUUAAUUCGAAGCAACGCGAAGAACCUUACCAGGCCUUGACAUAGGGUGCGAAGCUAUGGAGACAUAGUGGAGGUAAACAUCCAUACAGGUGGUGCAUGGUUGUCGUCAGCUCGUGUCGUGAGAUGUUCAGUUAAGUCUGGCAACGAGCGCAACCCUCGUGAUGUGUUACCAAUAUCGAGUUAGGGACUCACAUCAGACUGCCGGUGAGAAACCGGAGGAAGGUGGGGACGACGUCAAAUCAUCAUGCCCCUUAUGUCCUGGGCCACACACGUACUACAAUGGUGGUUAACAGAGGGAAGCAAAACCGCGAGGUGGAGCAAAUCCCUAAAAGCCAUCCCAGUUCGGAUCGCAGGCUGCAACCCGCCUGCGAGAAGUUGGAAUCGCUAGUAAUCGCGGAUCAGCAUGCCGCGGUGAAUACGUUCCCGGGUCUUGCACACACCACCCGUCAA